AAGUCGGUGCAAAUUUCACAUUACAUCCCUCGCACGUUUUCCUCUUUUUCCCUCUUCACUUCCACAUGUCUUGCAACGUGGCUAUCAUCUUCAAAUGCUUCCUUCCUUCACUUUUCUCUCAGAUGAGAAUAAUUGGAAGGCUUUAGUGCAAGAUUGAGAAGAUUAGAACGCAAAGGAAAUCAGCAAAUCAUCUAAAAUCGUUCAAAUCGUCAAGAGGGCUUUCAAGUUGUAGGCUACCAGGACCUUUAAUUUGCUUUUCAGGGUUUCUUAACUUGAAUGAAGUUGAUGCAUGAGCUGUUCCAUAGGAUGAUGAUCAUGACACUAGGCGGACCUGUGCCUUAGAGACUAAAAAUGAAGAUAGACUAGUUUAAUUAUUUCACGAACUCUUUUUUUUCCUGUUUAAGAUAAUGUAUUUCGCUUGUUAAAUAAAUAAAAUG
rnacentral:lncRNA from 1 species